rnacentral:rRNA from 1 species
CUGUCGUCAGCUCGUGUUGUGAAAUGUUGGGUUAAGUCCCGCAACGAGCGCAACCCUUAUCCUUUGUUGCCAGCGGUCCGGCCGGGAACUCAAAGGAGACUGCCAGUGAUAAACUGGAGGAAGGUGGGGAUGACGUCAAGUCAUCAUGGCCCUUACGACCAGGGCUACACACGUGCUACAAUGGCAUAUACAAAGAGAAGCGACCUCGCGAGAGCAAGCGGACCUCAUAAAGUAUGUCGUAGUCCGGAUUGGAGUCUGCAACUCGACUCCAUGAAGUCGGAAUCGCUAGUAAUCGUAGAUCAGAAUGCUACGGUGAAUACGUUCCCGGGCCUUGUACACACCGCCCGUCACACCAUGGGAGUGGGUUGCAAAAGAAGUAGGUAGCUUAACCUUCGGGAGGGCGCUUACCACUUUGUGAUUCAUGACUGGGGUGAAGUCGUAACAAGGUAACCGUAGGGGAACCUGCGGUUGGAUCACCUCCUUACCUUAAAGAA